rnacentral:rRNA from 1 species
CCCUACGGGACGCAGCAGUGGGGGAUAUUGCACAAUGGGGGGAACCCUGAUGCAGCGACGCCGCGUGGGUGAAGAAGUAUUUAGGUAUGUAAAGCCCUAUCGGCAGGGAAGAAAUUGGACGGUACCUGACUAAGAAGCCCCGGCUAACUACGUGCCAGCAGCCGCGGUAAUACGUAGGGGGCAAGCGUUAUCCGGAUUCACUGGGUGUAAAGGGAGCGUAGACGGCGACGCAAGUCUGGAGGGAAAGACAGGGGCCCAACCCCGGGACGGCUCUGGAAAUU